UACGAAGGGGGCUAGCGUUGCUCGGAAUCAUUGGGCGUAAAGGGCGCGUAGGCGGCUUUGUAAGUCCGUUGUGAAAUCCCUCGGCUCAACCGAGGAACUGCGACGGAUACUGCUUGGCUUGAGUCCCGGAGAGGGUAGCGGAAUUCCCAGUGUAGCGGUGAAAUGCGUAGAUAUUGGGAGGAACAUCGGUGGCGAAGGCGGCUACCUGGACGGGUACUGACGCUGAUGCGCGAAAGCUAGGGGAGCAAACAGG
rnacentral:rRNA from 1 species